CGUCGCGGCUACCAUGCAAGUCGAACGGAAAGGCCUCUUUCGGGGGGUACUCGAGUGGCGAGCGAGUGAGUAACACGUGAGUAACCUGCCCUUGACUUUGGGAUAACUUCAGGAAACUGGGGCUAAUACCGGAUAGGAGCUCCUGCUGCAUGGUGGGGGUUGGAAAGUUUCGGCGGUUGGGGAUGGACUCGCGGCUUAUCAGCUUGUUGGUGGGGUAGUGGCUUACCAAGGCUUUGACGGGUAGCCGGCCUGAGAGGGUGACCGGCCACAUUGGGACUGAGAUACGGCCCAGACUCCUACGGGAGGCAGCAGUGGGGAAUAUUGCACAAUGGGUGGAAGCCUGAUGCAGCAACGCCGUGUGCGGGAUGACGGCCUUCGGGUUGUAAACCGCUUUCGCUCAUGACGAAGCUUUGUGUGACGGUAGUGGGUAAAGAAGCACCGGCUAACUACGUGCCAGCAGCCGCGGUGAUACGUAGGGUGCGAGCGUUGUCCGGAUUUAUUGGGCGUAAAGGGCUCGUAGGUGGUUGAUCGCGUCGGAAGUGUAAUCUUGGGGCUUAACCCUGAGCGUGCUUUUGAUACGGGUUGACUUGAGGAAGGUAGGGGAGAAUGGAAUUCCUGGUGGAGCGGUGGAAUGCGCAGAUAUCAGGAGGAACACCGGUGGCGAAGGCGGUUCUCUGGGCCUUUCCUGACGCUGAGGAGCGAAAGCGUGGGGAGCGAACAGGCUUAGAUACCCUGGUAGUCCACGCUGUAAACGGUGGGUACUAGGUGUGGGGUCCAUUCCACGGGUUCCGUGCCGUAGCUAACGCUUUAAGUACCCCGCCUGGGGAGUACGGCCGCAAGGCUAAAACUCAAAGGAAUUGACGGGGCCCCGCACAAGCGGCGGANCAUGCGGAUUAAUUCGAUGCAACGCGAAAAACCUUACCUGGGUUUGACAUGGAUCAGGAGUGC
rnacentral:rRNA from 1 species